rnacentral:misc_RNA from 1 species
UGGCUCUCGCAUCGAUGAAGAACGCGGCGAAAUGCGAUAAGUAAUGUGAAUUGCAGAUUUCAGUGAAUCAUCGAAUCUUUGAACGCACCUUGCGCUCCUUGGUCCUCUGAGGAGCAUGCCUGUUUGAGUGUCCAGAAUAUCAUCAAUCCUCUCAAUCUUGCGGUUAAGAGGCAUUGGAAUUGGAGGUCUGCUGCUGGGGUUCAUGAUCCUGGUGGCUACUCCCAAAAUCAUUAGCUUGUCACUUGCUUUGGCUUGCCAGCGGCUUGAUAAUUGUCAUUGUCUAUGCCAGGUUGCAGCUGAGCGCGAUAGCUUCUAAUUGUCCGGGUUUCUGGACAAUACUUUAAGAUCGGACCUCAAAUCAGGUAGGACUACCCGCUGA